CUUCUCCAGGGGGAUCUUCCCAGCCCAGGAAUCAAACCCAGAGAGGACCCUGAAGUGGACCAGUUCCCCCAAGGAUACACUGGGACGUGAAUGCGGAGGCUAUAGGAAGCCUCCUUCCAGCAGAGGGGGUAGGGAAGCUCCAGGAUACCAGAGAGAGAAGGAGAGGCGUCUGCCUCCCCAGGAGGCAAGCAGAUGCUCCCAAGGGCUUCACUUGCCUCCCUGCCCAUCACAACUUCCUGCAUUCAACAGCUCUGCAACCUUCAGCAAGUCACUCCCCAUCCCUAGGCCUUUGUCUCCUCAACUGUGAAAGAAACAGGUCAGGAUAAUUUGAGGUCUCAGAAGGCUGGUUCUCAUACCAAACCUGGCCAACAGAUCUGCUGGUAUCACCAACCAACACUGCAAAGGUCAGCAGCCAAGUCCUGGUUUCCAACGUCCUGUGGUCCGGACCAUCUUGGAGAUUUACAUCCAGCAAAACACAUUGGAAAACUCUGUGCCACACGACACAGCCCAUGCCAAGAGACCAGGCUGGGGUUCUGGAAAUACAGACCUUAAAGAAGAGAGGUCGCAGCAUAAAACAAAUCCAAGGCAACAAAUGCUCUUUCUUUCACCUUAUCUUAGUUCCAGAGCUCCACAUUUAAUGAAAUAUUUCAGAAUGGAAGAGGUGAGGACAGGAAACAUCUGCCCUGCUCCCGAGACUCUCCGAGCCACACUUCAACCCAGAGCAAAUUAAAGCCCAGGCUCCUAAGACGGAAGUCCUGUGAUGAGAGCAGAGAGCAAGCUGGAGGGUUAGGGGCUGAGCCCUGGCCAACUGCAGUAAUAAAACAGUGCAUGGAUGUGGAGGCUUUGGAACAAAAAUACCUUGUAGCUAUUAUUUUCCUGAGUCUCUACCCAAGCACACACCCCCUCUCCCAUUCUUUUAAUCUGGAGCUACUGAGAAGCGGUAUUUUUCUCACCUUUGCAA